rnacentral:lncRNA from 1 species
CAAUAACGUCGUCUAUCAUUUUAUUUUUAGAUCAUAUGUUACUAAUUUUAUGCUUUAUUAUAGUCCAUGUAUGUUGAUAUACUUAUUCCAUGAUAAUUAUAUGUUUAUCCUUUUGUGUGAUGUAAAUUAAAUGCUGAAUGGCGGUUCAUGCAGGGAAAGAACAUAUCAAUAUUCGCAUAUUCAUUCAAAAACAUGAAAAUUCUUAAUGGCGUACCCUCAUUUCUUAUUGAAUUCUUAAAAAACAAUAUUUAUAAUGAAUUUUAAUAAUUUUUUCGGAUUUUUUUUAAGCUUUAUUCUGACCGAUUCAC